rnacentral:rRNA from 1 species
UACGAAGGUGGCUAGCGUUGUUCGGAAUCACUGGGCGUAAAGCGCACGUAGGCGGAUUUGCCAGUCAGGGGUGAAAUCCCGGGGCUCAACCCCGGAACUGCCCUUGAUACAGCAAAUCUCGAGUCCGGAAGAGGUGAGUGGAAUUCCUAGUGUAGAGGUGAAAUUCGUAGAUAUUAGGAAGAACACCAGUGGCGAAGGCGGCUCACUGGUCCGGCACUGACGCUGAGGUGCGAAAGCGUGGGGAGCAAACAGG